rnacentral:lncRNA from 1 species
GGCAAGAGGGCUCCUUGGGAGAAAAAUCCCUGACAUCUGCUCAUCAGAUAGCUUAUGUAAUAAAUUCUCUAUCACUGUCUUACCUUUUGUGGGUAACUUUUCUGGGAGCCAGAACUUUGACCCUGGAGAAAUUCAAAUGAAGAACAGUUAAGGCUUUCAUUUAAAACCUAUUUGUGACUGGUUGCAGUGGCCCACACCAUAUCAGCCACCAGGAAGGCUAAGAAAGAAGGAUCAGAAGUUCAAGGUCAGCCUCAGCAGCUUUGUGAGACCCUGUCCCAAAAUAAAAAGGGCUGGGGAUAUAGUUCAGUUGUAAAGCUCCCCUGGUUCAAGGGUUCAAUUCCCCAACACCCACCAAAAAAAAAAAAAAAAAGUUUGCAUUUUGUGGAAAUGCAUUUGAGAAAUUUGGCACUCCAUCCAUUUAAAGUGACGUGCAAAGCUUCGUUACCCAGAUGUUGGUACAAAUUGUGAAAUGCUAUUGAUCAAAUGGACUCUUAACCAAUGACAUCUGCUUUGACUGUUUUGAGAUUAAAAAAAUGAACCUUUUGGCUGAAGGUGUUACCGAUGUUACCGCUGUUGACCAGUGACAAGUCCUUGCUUCCCCAAUGUUAAAGUAUAACACCAGAGAAGCACGCUGAGGCAAGGUCAGAGUGGAAAGUAGAGGCUUUAUUAAAGGACAGCAGAAAAGGCUUCUCCCAGAGAAGGGGACCCAAGAGGUGGAAUCCGUGGAAGUGAGGUU